AUACGGAGGGUGCAAGCGUUACUCGGAAUCACUGGGCGUAAAGCGCGCGCAGGCGGGCUGAUAAGUUGGAUGUGAAAGCCUACGGCUCAACCGUAGAACUGCAUCCAAAACUGUCAGUCUAGAGUCUGGGAGGGGAAGAUGGAAUUAGUUGUGUAGGGGUAAAAUCCGUAGAGAUAACUAGGAAUACCAAAAGCGAAGGCGAUCUUCUGGAACAGUCCUGACGCUGAGGCGCGAAAGCGUGGGGAGCAAACAGGAUUAGAAACCCCGGUAGUCC
rnacentral:rRNA from 1 species